rnacentral:rRNA from 1 species
GACGAACGCUGGCGGCGUGCUUAACACAUGCAGGUCGAACGGAAAGGCCCUGCUUUUGUGGGGUGCUCGAGUGGCGAACGGGUGAGUAACACGUGAGUAACCUGCCCUUGACUUUGGGAUAACUUCAGGAAACUGGGGCUAAUACCGGAUAGGAGCUCCUGCUGCAUGGUGGGGGUUGGAAAGUUUCGGCGGUUGGGGAUGGACUCGCGGCUUAUCAGCUUGUUGGUGGGGUAGUGGCUUACCAAGGCUUUGACGGGUAGCCGGCCUGAGAGGGUGACCGGCCACAUUGGGACUGAGAUACGGCCCAGACUCCUACGGGAGGCAGCAGUGGGGAAUAUUGCGCAAUGGGCGGAAGCCUGAUGCAGCAACGCCGCGUGCGGGAUGACGGCCUUCGGGUUGUAAACCGCUUUCGCCUGUGACGAAGCGUGAGUGACGGUAAUGGGUAAAGAAGCACCGGCUAACUACGUG